UGGUCAAGUUAUUAAGGGUGCAGGGCGGAUGCCUUGGCACUAGGAGCCGAUGAAGGACGUGAUAAGCUGCGAUAAGCUUCGGGGAGUUGCACGUAAACUUUGAUCCGAAGAUUUCCGAAUGAGGAAACUCACUUAGAGUAAUGUCUAAGUAUCAUUAAGUGAAUACAUAGCUUAAUGAGGGGAACUCAGGGAACUGAAACAUCUAAGUACCUGAAGGAAGAGAAAGAAAUUCGAUUCCGUAAGUAGCGGCGAGCGAACGCGGAUUAGCCCAAACCAAUAAAGUUUUCUUUAUUGGGGUUGCGGACAUAUCAUAACGAAGAGGUAUCGUAAUUGAAGAGGUUUGGAAAGACCCACCACAGAAGGUAAUAGUCCUGUAUGUUAAACGAGAAGACUUCAGAUAUGAUCCAGAGUACCACGGGACACGUGAAACCCUGUGGGAAGCAGGAGGGACCACCCUCCAAGGCUAAAUACUACCUAGUGACCGAUAGCGUAUAGUACCGUGAGGGAAAGGUGAAAAGAACCCCGGGAGGGGGAGUGAAAUAGAACCUGAAACCCUGCACUUACAAGCUGUGGAAGCACAUUUCUUGUGUGACCGCGUACUUUUUUGUAGAACGGGCCAACGAGUUACGUUAAGUAGCAAGGUUAAGCACUUAAGGUGUGGAGCCGUAGCGAAAGCGAGUUUUAACUGAGCGUUCAGUUACUUGACGUAGACCCGAAACCGGGCGACCUACCCAUGAGCAGGAUGAAGCGAAAGUAAAAUUUCGUGGAGGUCCGAACCCACGAGCGUUGAAAAGCUCGGGGAUGACUUGUGGGUAGCGGUGAAAUUCCAAUCGAGCCCGGAGAUAGCUGGUUCUCCCCGAAAUAGCUUUAGGGCUAGCCUCAAGGUGAGAGAUACGGAGGUAGAGCACUGAAUGUCCUAGGGGGUAUUGCACCUACCGAAGACUAUCAAACUCCAAAUGCCGUCAUCUUAUACUUGGGAGUCAGACUGUGGGUGAUAAGAUUCAUAGUCGAAAGGGCAACAGCCCAGAUCGUCAGCUAAGGUCCCUAAAUGUAAGUUAAGUGGUAAAGGAUGUGGGAUUGCACAGACAACCAGGAUGUUGGCUUAGAAGCAGCCACUCAUUCAAAGAGUGCGUAAUAGCUCACUGGUCGAGUGAUCCUGCGCCGAAGAUUUCCGGGGCUAAAACUUACUACCGAAGCUACGGCAUCAGUAAUGAUGGGUAGGGGAGCUUCCCAUACGGGUUGAAGCAUGACCGUAAGGACAUGUGGACAGUAUGGGAGUGAGAAUGUUGGCAUGAGUAGCGAGAUGUGGGUGAGAAUCCCACAGGCCGUAAACCCAAGGUUUCCAGGGGGAAGGUUCGUCCGCCCUGGGUUAGUCGGGACCUAAGCUGAGGCCGAAAGGCGUAGGUGAUGGACAACAGGUUGAUAUUCCUGUACUACCGAUAACCGUUUGAGAGAAGGGAUGACACAGUAGGAUAAGCUAAGCACACUGUUGGUUAUGUGUGCCCAAGCAUUGAGGCAGUCAAAGUAGGCAAAUCCGCUUUGAUAAUGCUGGGAUGUGAUGGGGAGCGAAAUUUAGUAGCGAAGUAGCUGAUUUCACACUGUCAAGAAAAGUCUCUAUCGAGGUUAAAGGUACCCGUACCGCAAACCGACACAGGUGGGUGAGGAGAGUAUCCUAAGGCCAGCGAGAGAACUGUUGUUAAGGAACUCGGCAAAAUGACCCCGUAACUUAGGGAUAAGGGGUGCCACCAUCAGGUGGCCGCAGAGAAUAGGCCCAAGCGACUGUUUACCAAAAACAUAGGUUUCUGCUAAGUCGCAAGACGAUGUAUAGGAGCUGACGCCUGCCCGGUGCUGGAAGGUUAAGGGGAUCUGUUAGAGCAAUCGAAGCAGUGAACUUAAGCCCCAGUAAACGGCGGCCGUAACUAUAACGGUCCUAAGGUAGCGAAAUUCCUUGUCGGGUAAGUUCCGACCCGCACGAAAGGCGUAACGAUUUGGGCACUGUCUCAACAACAGACUCGGUGAAAUUGUAAUUCCGGUGAAGAUGCCGGAUACCUGCGACAGGACGGAAAGACCCCAUGGAGCUUUACUGUAGCUUGACAUUGGGUCUUGGUACUACAUGUACAGGAUAGGUGGGAGGCUUUGAAACCAGGACGCCAGUUUUGGCGGAGCCAUCCUUGGGAUACCACCCUUGUAGUACUGGGACUCUAACCAUAGGCCAUGAAUCUGGUCUUGGGACACUGUCAGGUGGGCAGUUUGACUGGGGCGGUCGCCUCCCAAAAGGUAACGGAGGCGCUCAAAGGUUCUCUCAGUACGGUCGGAAAUCGUACGUAGAGUGUAAAGGCAAAGAGAGCUUGAUUGCAAGACAUACAGGUCGAGCAAGGAUGAAAAUCGGACUUAGUGAUCCGGUGGUUCUGCGUGGAAGGGCCAUCGCUCAACGGAUAAAAGCUACCCUGGGGAUAACAGGCUUAUCUCCCCCAAGAGUCCACAUCGACGGGGAGGUUUGGCACCUCGAUGUCGGCUCAUCACAUCCUGGGGCUGUAGUAGGUCCCAAGGGUUGGGCUGUUCGCCCAUUAAAGUGGUACGCGAGCUGGGUUCAGAACGUCGUGAGACAGUUCGGUCCCUAUCCGUCGCAGGCGUAGGAAAUUUGAGAAGACCUGUCCUUAGUACGAGAGGACCGGGAUGGACGUACCUCUGGUGUACCAGUUGUUCUGCCAAGGGCAUGGCUGGGUAGCUAUGUACGGAAUGGAUAAGCGCUGAAAGCAUCUAAGCGCGAAGCCAACUUCAAGAUAAGAUUUCCCACCGCAAGGGUAAGACCCCAGAAAGACUAUCUGGUUGAUAGGUCGAAGGUGUAAGUGCAGCAAUGUAUUUAGCUUAUCGAUACUAAUAGGUCGAGGACUUGACCAAU
rnacentral:rRNA from 1 species